UACGGAGGGUGCAAGCGUUAUCCGGAUUCACUGGGUUUAAAGGGUGUGUAGGCGGGUCUAUAAGUCAGUGGUGAAAUCUCCGGGCUCAACCCGGAAACUGCCAUUGAUACUAUAGGUCUUGAAUAUUGUGGAGGUGGGCGGAAUGUGUCAUGUAGCGGUGAAAUGCUUAGAGAUGACACAGAACACCGAUUGCGAAGGCAGCCCACUACGCAACUAUUGACGCUGAGGCACGAAAGCGUGGGGAUCAAACAGG
rnacentral:rRNA from 1 species